AGGCUCACUUCAGCAGCACAUACGCUAAAAUUAAAACAACAGAGAUUAGCAUGUCCCUUGCACAAAGAUGACAUGCACAUUCAUGAAGCAUCUCAUAUUUCA
rnacentral:snRNA from 1 species